rnacentral:lncRNA from 1 species
GUUGUGGUAUAAGCUGAUGAAAAUGGGUAUUAACGGAACGUUUCUAAAAGCAAUUCAGUCUCUUUACGAUGCGACACAAAGUGCUGUAAAAUUAGGAAACAACUUAACAGAUAUUUUCCCGGUUCAAUACGGUGUGAAACAAGGCUGUAAAAUGUCUCCUACUUUGUAUUCUAUAUAUGUUAACGAUCUUGCGGAGGAUAUUCGCUCGCUUAAUGCUGGUGUAGAUAUUGAUGACUUAAAUGUAUCUAUUCUUCUUUACGCUGACGAUGUUGCAUUGCUAGCUCCAAAUGAGCAGAAUUUACAAAAGAUGUUGGACUGUUUAAACACCUGGUGUAGGAAAUGGAGAAUGACUCUAAAUACAGAAAAAACGAAAGUUAUUCAUUACCGUAAUAAAAACAUUGCUAGAUCUGCCGUUGAAUUUAAAUGCGGAGAUAUUUUAGUUAAUUAUAUUUCAUCCUACAGAUAUUUGGGACUACAUUUGAAUGAAUUUCUGGAUUAUAAACAUACAGUACGAGAAAUUACUAAAUCAGCAAGCAGAGCACUUUCAGCCUUAUAUGCUAAAUUUAUUUCGUGUGGUGGAAUGACUUAUGAUGUGUUUACGAAACUAUAUAGGUCGGUAGUUGAGCCUGUUCUAUACUAUGGUUCUGGAAUAUGGGGACAUACAAAUUGGAGAGAGGUACAAGUUAUACAGAACAAAGCAUGUCGGUUAUUCUUAGGAAGUGCUUCAAAUGCGUCAAAUAUAGCCAUUCAAGGUGAUAUGGGACUUACAAGUACGAAAUCAGCAGAAAUUUUGGAAACUUUUCGUCUAUUUCUUAGAGUGAGCAAAGCUUAUGAUACAAGACUUACGUAUAAGGUUCAUAUGUGGAGUAAGGAUUGUUCUAGGUCUUGGGAUAAAAAUUGUAUAAAGAAAGCACAAAUUUUCGGUAUUGAAAAUGUUAUUAAUGAUACUUUUUCCAUUAAACAUAAACUGCAAGAUAUCAAAUCUAAACUAUGUGAAAAAGAUAAAAAUGAGUGGGUUGAAAAAUUGUUUAAUGACAGAAAUCAAUGUAAUGGUAAUAAAUUACGUAUUUAUAGAGAGUAUAAACAUGUUUUAGAAUUUAGUUCUUAUGUAAAAUUAGUUCGUAACAGGCAGCAUAGACGUGUUUUGUCAAAUUUUAGAAGUGGCUGUUUACCACUGGCAGUUGAAACGGGUAGAUACACCAAGCCAAAAAUUCCUUUAAAUGAGCGCACUUGUAUAUAUUGUACAGAUAAUUGUGUAGAAGAUGAAAAACAUUUUUUAUUAGG